rnacentral:rRNA from 1 species
CCUACGGGUGGCAGCGGUGGGGAAUAUUGCACAAUGGGGGAAACCCUGAUGCAGCGACGCCGCGUGAGUGAAGAAGUAUUUCGGUAUGUAAAGCUCUAUCAGCCGGGAAGAAAAUGCCGGUACCUGUUUAAGAAGCCCCGGCUAACUACGUGCCAGAAGCCGCGGUAAUACGUAGGGGGCCAGCGUUAUCCGGAUUUUCUGGGUGUAAAGGGAGCGUAGACGGCAGCACAAGUCUGGAGUGAAAUGCCGGGGCUUAACCCCGGAACUGCUGUGGAAACUGGGCAGCUAGAGUUCAGGAGAGGUAAGUGGAAUUCCUGGUGUAGCGGUGAAAUGCGUAGAUAUUGGGAGGAACACCGGUGGCGAAGGCAGCUUACUGGACUGUAACUGACGUUGAGGCUCGAAAGCGUGGGGAGCGAACAGGAUUAGAUACCCCUGUAGUC